rfam:Pan troglodytes isolate Yerkes chimp pedigree #C0471 (Clint) chromosome 14, whole genome shotgun sequence.
CCUUCGAUAGCUCAGCUGGUAGAGCGGAGGACUGUAGUACUUAAUGUGUCGUCAUCCUUAGGUCGCUGGUUCGAUUCCGGCUCGAAGGA